CAUCGGUGACAGUGGUGCAUGGUUGUCGUCAGCUCGUGUCGUGAGAUGUUGGGUUAAGUCCCGCAACGAGCGCAACCCCUAUUGUUAGUUGCCAUCAUUCAGUUGGGCACUCUAGCGAGACUGCCGGUAAUAAACCGGAGGAAGGUGGGGAUGACGUCAAAUCAUCAUGCCCCUUAUGACCUGGGCUACACACGUGCUACAAUGGUUGGUACAACAAGUUGCGAGUCGGUGACGGCGAGCUAAUCUCUUAAAGCCAAUCUCAGUUCGGAUUGUAGGCUGCAACUCGCCUACAUGAAGUCGGAAUCGCUAGUAAUCGCGGAUCAGCACGCCGCGGUGAAUACGUUCCCGGGCCUU
rnacentral:rRNA from 1 species